GACGAACGCUGGCGGCGUGCUUAACACAUGCAAGUCGAACGGAAAGGCCCUGCUUUUGUGGGGUGCUCGUUUGGCGAACGGGUGAGUAACACGUGAGUAACCUGCCCUUAACUUUGGGAUAACUUCAGGAAACUGGGGCUAAUACCGGAUAUGAUCUCCUGCUGCAUGUGGGGGGUUGGAAAGUUUCGGCGGUUGGGGAUGGACUCGCGGCUUAUCAGCUUGUUGGUGAGGUAGUGGCGUACGAGGGUUUUGACGGGUAGCCUGCCUGAGAGGGUGACCGGCCACAUUGGGACUGAGAUACGGACCAGACUCCUACGGGAGGCAGCAGUGGGGAAUAUUGCACAAUGGGCGGAAGCCUGAUGCAGCAACGCCGCGUGCGGGAUGACGGCCUUCGGGUUGUAAACCGCUUUCGCCUGUGACGAAGCGUGAGUGACGGUAAUGGGUAAAGAAGCAACGGCUAACUACAUG
rnacentral:rRNA from 1 species